rnacentral:rRNA from 1 species
UACGUAGGGUGCAAGCGUUGUCCGGAAUUAUUGGGCGUAAAGAGCUCGUAGGCGGCCUGUUGCGUCCGCUGUGAAAGCCCGGGGCUUAACCCCGGGUCGGCAGUGGAUACGGGCAGGCUAGAGGUAGGUAGGGGAGAAUGGAAUUCCUGGUGUAGCGGUGGAAUGCGCAGAUAUCAGGAGGAACACCGAUGGCGAAGGCAGGUCUCUGGGCCACUACUGACGUGAGAAGCGAAAGCAUGGGGGAGCGAACAGG